rnacentral:rRNA from 1 species
GACGAACGCUGGCGGCGUGCUUAACACAUGCAAGUCGAACGGGCCUUGUCCCCUUUUUUUUGGGGGUGGGGUUAGUGGCGAACGGGUGAGUAACACGUGAGUAACCUGCCCCUCACUUCUGGAUAACCGCUUGAAAGGGUGGCUAAUACGGGGUGUUCUGGCCUGCUCGCAUGGGUGGGUUUGGAAAGAUUCGACCGGUUUUGGUUGUUUUGGUGGGGGAUGGGCUGGCGGCCUAUCAGCUUGUUGGUGGGGUGAUGGCCUGCCAAGGCUUUGACGGGUAGCCGGCCUGAGAGGGUGGGCGGUCACACUGGGACUGAGACACGGCCCAGACUCCUACGGGAGGCAGCAGUGGGGAAUAUUGCACAAGGGGCGCAAGCCUGAUGCAGCGACGCCGCGUGAGGGAUGGAGGCCUUCGGGUUGUGAACCUCUUUCGCCAGUGAAGAAGGUCCUGCUCUUUGUGGUGGGGUUGACGGUAGCUGGGUUAAUGAAGCGCCGGCUAACUACGUG